AAUCCAAAGUCCCAAAAGGCAAAAGAACAGCAAGUUCCCAAAGUGGGAUCAAAGAACCAAACCUUAAACCUCUUUCAAAGGUGCACUAGACAAAAGCAACAAUGCACGGGGUUGGAACAAUGAUGGUGAGGCAAUGCCAGAAAACAAGAUCGGAGAAGAAAACGGCGGCCCACGCGCAGCCACUCAUUGGUGCGUGGGAGAGGUGCAGGAUACAAUAAUGGCGCGUGAGUGCUACUCGCUUAAUGUCUGGUCAUUGAACUUUUAAGAAAUGCAGGUCGGCAGCCAAGCUUCUUGACGGGAGGGGUAAAGAAAUCACACUAGAAGGGUGACCUAGAGUUACAGAGGGGGUAGGGACAAAUAGAGUCCAAAGGGUAGAGAAUUUUUGGGCUCUUAUAUUAGCUUCUCAACAAGGAGGCUUAAAAAUAGAGGAGAAAACCAACUA
rnacentral:misc_RNA from 1 species